CGUGCUGAAGAAGUCCCUUGCCUGGCUGGCAAAACAUGUUUCCUAACCACAGGAAUGAUUUAGCCAGGGACAGAACAGUGAAUACAGUAUGCUAUAUGAGCUGCCAAGCCAAGCCAAGCAUGGUGGUGGUUAAAGAUUCAGAAAUCACUUUGCUUCAGUUGAAGAUUUAUGAGCAUAGAAAGCCUUUUCUGCAUUUCGUUAUGAUUUGACCCUGACCUCAUUCUUCUUGGAUGCAAAACACAAACCUGCCGUGGAUAUGGCCAUCUUCCAGAGGUCUCUCACAUUGUCACUUCCUGCCUACCUUCAUUAAGGAAAAAUGGCCGAUUCG